rnacentral:rRNA from 1 species
GUAGGUAGUCUAUACGAGCGCACCUUAUUCUUAGUUGCCAGCGGUUCGGCCGGGGACUCUAAGAAAACUGCCAGUGCAAGCUGUGAGGAAGGUGGGGAUGACGUCAAAUCAUCACGGCCCUUACGACCUGGGCCACACACGUGCUACAAUGGUAGGUACAAAGAGCAGCCACUUGGCGACAAGGAGCUAAUCUCAAAAACCUAUCUCAGUUCGGAUUGGAGUCUGAAACUCGACUCUAUGAAGCUGGAAUCGCUAGUAAUCGCGCAUCAGCCAUGGCGCGGUGAAUACGUUCCCGGGCCUUGUACACACCGCCCGUCAAGCCAUGGAAGCUGGGAGUACCUGAAGUCGGUAACCAUAUAGGAGCUGCCUAAGGUAAAACUGGUAACUGGGGCUAAGUCGUAACAAGGUAGCCGUACCGGAAGGUGUGGCUGGAACACCUCCUUUCU